rnacentral:rRNA from 1 species
GACAGAGGUGGCAAGCGUUGUUCGGAUUUAUUGGGUGUAAAGGGCAGGUAGGCUGUCUUGCAAGUCCGGCGUGAAAUCCCACGGCUCAACCGUGGAAAUGCGUUGGAAACUGCUUGACUUGAGUAUCAGAGAGGUAAAGGGAAUUCUCGGUGUAAGGGUGAAAUCUGUAGAUAUCGAGAGGAACACCAGAGGCGAAGGCGCUUUACUGGCUGAUUACUGACGCUGAGCUGCGAAAGCAAGGGGAGCAAACAGG